rnacentral:rRNA from 1 species
GAUGAACGCCAUCUACAGGCCUAACACAUGCAAGUCGAGGGGCAGCGGGAAUUAAGCUUGCUUAGUUUGCCGGCGACCGGCGCACGGGUGAGUAACGCGUAUCCAACCUACCCUUGUCCAUCGGAUAACCCGUCGAAAGGCGGCCUAACACGAUAUGCGGUUCUCAGCAGGCAUCUAACGAGAACGAAAUGUGAAGGAGAAGGAUGGGGAUGCGUCUGAUUAGCUUGUUGGCGGGGUAACGGCCCACCAAGGCGACGAUCAGUAGGGGUUCUGAGAGGAAGGUCCCCCACAUUGGAACUGAGACACGGUCCAAACUCCUACGGGAGGCAGCAGUGAGGAAUAUUGGUCAAUGGACGGGAGUCUGAACCAGCCAAGUAGCGUGCAGGACGACGGCCCUAUGGGUUGUAAACUGCUUUUAUAGGGGGAUAAAGUGUGCCACGUGUGGCAUAUUGCAGGUACCCUAUGAAUAAGGACCGGCUAAUCCCGUGCCAGCAGCCGCGGUAAUACGGAAGGUCCGGGCGUUAUCCGGAUUUAUUGGGUUUAAAGGGAGCGCAGGCGGUUCUUCAAGUCAGCUGUGAAAACGCGGGGCUCAACCUCGCGCCUGCAGUUGAUACUGUUGAACUUGAGUGCACACAGGGAUGUUGGAAUUCAUGGUGUAGCGGUGAAAUGCUUAGAUAUCACGAAGAACUCCGAUUGCGAAGGCAGCUCACUGGAGCGCAACUGACGCUGAAGCUCGAAAGUGCGGGUAUCGAACAGG